GGGUUGUGAGGUUAAGCGACUAAGCGUACACGGUGGAUGCCCUGGCAGUCAGAGGCGAUGAAGGGCGUGCUAAUCUGCGAUAAGCGCCGGUAAGGUGAUAUGAACCGUUAUAACCGGCGAUACCCGAAUGGGGAAACCCAGUGUGAUUCGUCACACUAUCAUUAACUGAAUCCAUAGGUUAAUGAGGCGAACCGGGGGAACUGAAACAUCUAAGUACCCCGAGGAAAAGAAAUCAACCGAGAUUCCCCCAGUAGCGGCGAGCGAACGGGGAGGAGCCCAGAGCCUGAAUCAGCAUGUGUGUUAGUGGAAGCGUCUGGAAAGGCGCGCGAUACAGGGUGACAGCCCCGUACACAAAAGCGUAUGUGCUGUGAGCUCGAUGAGUAGGGCGGGACACGUGGUAUCCUGUCUGAAUAUGGGGGGACCAUCCUCCAAGGCUAAAUACUCCUGACUGACCGAUAGUGAACCAGUACCGUGAGGGAAAGGCGAAAAGAACCCCGGCGAGGGGAGUGAAAAAGAACCUGAAACCGUGUACGUACAAGCAGUGGGAGCACCCUUUGGGGUGUGACUGCGUACCUUUUGUAUAAUGGGUCAGCGACUUAUAUUCUGUAGCAAGGUUAACCGAAUAGGGGAGCCGGAGGGAAACCGAGUCUUAAUUGGGCGUUAAGUUGCAGGGUAUAGACCCGAAACCCGGUGAUCUAGCCAUGGGCAGGUUGAAGGUUGGGUAACACUAACUGGAGGACCGAACCGACUAAUGUUGAA
rnacentral:rRNA from 1 species